GAUGAACGCUGGCGGCGUGCCUAAUACAUGCAAGUCGAGCGAACAGACGAGGAGCUUGCUCCUCUGACGUUAGCGGCGGACGGGUGAGUAACACGUGGAUAACCUACCUAUAAGACUGGGAUAACUUCGGGAAACCGGAGCUAAUACCGGAUAAUAUAUUGAACCGCAUGGUUCAAUAGUGAAAGACGGUGUUGCUGUCACUUAUAGAUGGAUCCGCGCCGCAUUAGCUAGUUGGUAAGGUAACGGCUUACCAAGGCAACGAUGCGUAGCCGACCUGAGAGGGUGAUCGGCCACACUGGGACUGAGACACGGUCCAGACACCUACGGGAGGCAGCAGUAGGGACUCUUCCGCAAUGGGCGAAAGACUGACGGAGCAGCGCCACGUGAGUGAUGAAGGUCUUCGGGUCGUAAAACUCUGUUAUUAGGGAAGAACAAAUGUGUAAGUAACUAUGCACGUCUUGACGGUACCUGAUCAGAAAGCCACGGCUAACUACGUG
rnacentral:rRNA from 1 species